GACGAACGCUGGCGGCGUGCCUAAUACAUGCAAGUAGAACGCUGAAGGAGGAGCUUGCUUCUCUGGAUGAGUUGCGAACGGGUGAGUAACGCGUAGGUAACCUGCCUGGUAGCGGGGGAUAACUAUUGGAAACGAUAGCUAAUACCGCAUAAUAGUAGAUGUUGCAUGACAUUUGCUUAAAAGGUGCAAUUGCAUCACUACCAGAUGGACCUACGUUGUAUUAGCUAGUUGGUGAGGUAACGGCUCACCAAGGCGACGAUACAUAGCCGACCUGAGAGGGUGAUCGGCCACACUGGGACUGAGACACGGCCCAGACUCCUACGGGAGGCAGCAGUAGGGAAUCUUCGGCAAUGGACGGAAGUCUGACCGAGCAACGCCGCGUGAGUGAAGAAGGUUUUCGGAUCGUAAAGCUCUGUUGUAAGAGAAGAACGAGUGUGAGAGUGGAAAGUUCACACUG
rnacentral:rRNA from 1 species